AGAGUUUGAUCCUGGCUCAGAUUGAACGCUGGCGGCAGGCUUAACACAUGCAAGUCGAGCGGUAACAUUCCUAGCUUGCUAGGAGAUGACGAGCGGCGGACGGGUGAGUAAUGCUUGGGAAUAUGCCUUAUGGUGGGGGACAACAGUUGGAAACGACUGCUAAUACCGCAUAACGUCUACGGACCAAAGGAGGGGAUCUUCGGACCUUUCGCCAUUUGAUUAGCCCAAGUGAGAUUAGCUAGUAGGUGAGGUAAAGGCUCACCUAGGCGACGAUCUCUAGCUGGUUUGAGAGGAUGAUCAGCCACACUGGGACUGAGACACGGCCCAGACUCCUACGGGAGGCAGCAGUGGGGAAUAUUGCACAAUGGGCGAAAGCCUGAUGCAGCCAUGCCGCGUGUGUGAAGAAGGCCUUCGGGUUGUAAAGCACUUUCAGUUGUGAGGAAAGGGAUGUAGUUAAUAACUGCAUUCUGUGACGUUAACAACAGAAGAAGCACCGGCUAACUUCGUGCCAGCAGCCGCGGUAAUACGAGGGGUGCAAGCGUUAAUCGGAAUUACUGGGCGUAAAGCGUUCGUAGGCGGUUAUUUAAGCAAGAUGUGAAAGCCCAGGGCUCAACCUUGGAACUGCAUUUUGAACUGGGUAACUAGAGUACUGUAGAGGGUGGUGGAAUUUCCAGUGUAGCGGUGAAAUGCGUAGAGAUUGGAAGGAACAUCAGUGGCGAAGGCGGCCACCUGGACAGAUACUGACGCUGAGGAACGAAAGCGUGGGUAGCGAACGGGAUUAGAUACCCCGGUAGUCCACGCCGUAAACGAUGUGCACUAGGUCGAGGGCGUUCUGACGCGACUCUCGGCCGAAGCGAAAGUGUUUAGUGCACCGCCUGGGGAGUACGGUCGCAAGGCUAAAACUCAAAGGAAUUGACGGGGGCUCACACAAGCGGUGGAGCAUGUGGCUUAAUUCGAAGCAACGCGAAGAACCUUAUCCUGGGUUUGACAUGCAUGGAUUAGCUCCGUGAAAGCGGAGUGACACCUUCGGGUGGAACAUGCACAGGUGCUGCAUGGCUGUCGUCAGCUCGUGCUGUGAAGUGUCGGGUUAAGUCCCUUAACGAGCGCAACCCUUAUCGCUAGUUGCCAGCGCGUCAUGGCGGGGACUCUAGCGAGACUGCCGGUGUUAAACCGGAGGAAGGUGGGGACGACGUCAAGUCCGCAUGGCCUUUAUGCCCAGGGCUGCACACGUGCUACAAUGGCGAGUACAAAACGAAGCAAUACCGCGAGGUGGAGCAAAUCGCAAAAACUCGCCCCAGUUCGGAUUGCAGGCUGCAAUUCGCCUGCAUGAAGUUGGAAUCGCUAGUAAUCGUGGAUCAGCACGCCACGGUGAAUACGUUCCUGAGCCUUGUACACACCGCCCGUCAAGUCAUGGAAGCUGGCAGUGCCUUAAGUCGC
rnacentral:rRNA from 1 species